GGGCGCGUAGCUCAGUGGGAGAGCACUCGCCUUACAAGCGAGGGGUCGCAGGUUCGAAACCUGCCGCGCCCACAA
rnacentral:tRNA from 6 species